AGCAAGAGACUUGUUUAGUGAGGAAAGGAUUUCAACGACAGCCACAGUGUGUGUGUUUUCAAUGAUUGUGUGUGUGAUAUAGUGAUUGUGUGAUGUGUGUAUGUGUGUGUUUUUUAAAUGUGUGUGUGUGUGUUUUAAUGAUUGUGUGUGUGUGUGUGACUAUCCUCACUGUGGAGCUCAAGGAGGCACUCACUCACAGUUCACAUGCACUCACAUCAGUCGUGCUCGCGUGUGCACAGCUUUUGUCUCACAUCCGGACUGAAACGAAACUGAAGCAAACGCCACACGAUGGUACUCGAACUCUCAGAUAAAACUUGAAAAUGCAUGCUCGUGGAUAAGAGAUAAGAUAAAAAUAAAGCAGUUCAACUGUUCCCUUGUACGAGGAAGAACAAUGCCUAUGGGACGCUUGACAAAUAAAUUAAAAGAUCAAAUACUAGGUACACAAUAUAAAUUGUUUCGAUAAUAAACAGCUAACAUAAAUAAACCAAUUAAAACGCACUGACCAACAGAGGUUGCUUUGUACUAAUUCAAAAACGGACUCAAUCAGAACGCACAAAACAUUUCUUACAAUCAUAUCAAACAAAUCAUGAUAAAUGUUGAUAGCGAUGUACUAUUCUUCUGGCAUGUCAUCGCAGCGGACAUUGUCCUUGUCUUGGAUUCUAUCCACAAAGCAUCCUUGAUUGUUUAUGUUGUUCCAUAAUUUCCUCGGCAAUACAUUUUUCUCGCUCGCAGUUUCAAACUAAAAAUCUCCCUUUAGCCUCACAAAAGUUUUCUUGCCUGUUUCCUUAAAUGCUGCUAGUCGUCUGUUUGCGUGUUAUGGCAGGAGAUCAAAUUUUAAAUAAAAUAAAAUAAAAUAAAAAUAAGUUUUCUCUCCAUCAACACUCUACUAGACAGCUACAUCGCCAUCUGCCCUCGGUCUUUACCAGCGACUGGCUGCAGGCCCACCACUUCACAACUACGGCUCGUCGAUGACUAUUAUGGAUGUGAAGUGUGAAGUGCCGACGUACAUCCGGGAAUACACAAGUAUGAAUGAAGAACAAUCAGAGCUAACAGAUGAUAGGAGCAAGGACAUCAAACUGUGAAAACAACACAGGGACAACACAGACAAGACAGAUUCCUAGUUCUUAAUAAGCUGAAACGUGAAUACUUGCCCCAUGGGACUGGCCACGUGAGCGACAGUUAAGUCUUGCUACCCACAUCAACAUAAGUUGCAGGGGAACCAUAGUACAAUUGUACACAGUACAAUAGAUGAAAAGUUAAAAGAUGAGAGGACUGAUAUUCAAACAUGUAUUAAAACGAUAUUUAUUUCUUUUAAUACGCCAAAACACUUAUUAAAUGCAAGAACAAUUUUCUCUAAUUCUGUCCACUUUUAACAAGGAGUGUUUUGUAUGUAGAUCUUAUUAGAAGAAAUCUUGGCUAACACUUUUUUAUCUAGCCAAGGGAAAUAACCCUUUAAAAGAUCUUCGCUACUUGAGGAAACAUUUUAAAAAUUAUGUCCCUUUAAGACUGAGCUCCUCGGGUUCAUGAAAUUAGAAGCACAAAAAGUUUUGUGUGAGAAUUACAGUCCGUUCCGAAUUAUUUCAUUGCUGUCUAUUCAACCUGUUUCAUUAUUUAAAUCAUGUAUUUAAUUAUAAAUCUGCUUUCCUAUUCUAUUGCAAGCUCUAGGUUCUACUGCAGAAUGCAUCAUUCAAGACGACGAAAGAAUAAUAAGAAAUGAAUAAAUGUGUACUGAUAACACUCAGCAUCACGAUCGCACUCUCUGCGCUGACCAGUCAUGAUAAAUGAAAGAUAUAAGACAGUGGAGGUGCGCUAAGUUCAGCUCAUCCCAAAACAGUCGUAGGACAGCUCUGAUGGAGAACAGCCGUGGUGAACAGCAGCUGGAUCGGUCUUCCACCCGACUGAGAAGGUCCUUCAGUUCACUUCCAUUAUGGCAACGCCUAAAAAAAGAGAGAGAGAGAGAGAGAGAGAGCCACCCAAUCCAGCGGCGAUCCAGCUCUGAACGCCUUGUAAAAAACUUCAUGAGUUGGUUUGUUAAAAAUAAAAUAAUCCUCCACCUAUGCACUGCCUGAAGUAGCCCAGUUCUCUUGUUUAAAUGCAAGUUUUGGGGCAAUGAGCUACGAGAUAUGUCUCCCACUCCACUAGAAAACUUUUCAUGAAAAAAACCUAGUGCUCAAUAGCCGAUAAAGAUGAAACAUUUGUCUUAAAAAUACCUACGUGCUGUAUUUGUCUUACCUUUUAACAAAACUCGUUAAAUCGUGUUUUCCUUCAUUCCACAGAAAGUACUAAAGCAACAUAAUACAGUGAUUGUGGAGACUUGAAGACAAGACUUGCUUCUGUCGUCUAAAAUUUUCUUCCCGUGUGCUGGGGAGUUGCACGGAGGGGUGGAACGGUUUGGGAGAGUAAAAUUGUUUUCAUUCAACUUCAGAUUACAGCGGUUUGCGUAUGAACUACACACUACUACUCAUGUCAACCGUGAGCUUCACUUAAUAAUUGUAAAGGUUUUUAACACAUAAUAAGUUUGUAGUAUUGAUAUAGUGACUUCUUUCUUUGUGUCUGCAUGAUAUAUUUUAUAUAGGUAGAUGAUAUAUGCUAGGAAAAUUAUGUUUCCUCUCUUUCCUUUCUUUAUGUGUGUGUGAGAGAGAGAGAGAGAGAGAGAGACAGAGACAGAGACAGAGACAGAGAGAUUUGGCAGCACAUGGUAGUGAGAUUUUAAAACAGUAGAUACAACAUCCCUAUCAGACCUGUGCCCAAUGUCCCCCAAUCAAGGAUUUGUUUCUAUAAAAAAGAAUGUUCAUUGUGCACUAACUGUGUGGACUGUAUACCUUGCACCACCUGUCACACGUGUUAUUUUGAAAUCAAUGUCUGCUGCUGCACCUUUCUCACUUUCCUCCGAGGGUGGUAGUGAUGUGGAAGCUGAUGCUGUAAGAGGUUUACUAAUGGCAUUCAUGCUUGAAUGGUUUCACUGACUAUAGUAUGAAUGGUGUCAUGUUGGGAUCUGGCUGACUGAACGCCGGUCAUGGUGUGAAACCCUGACAUAAAAUGUCGACUAAACACCUAGUAUAUUGCAUAUCGCUUUCAAGCACAAUUUUCUUAUUUUGAGCUUGUUUGUGUUUACCCGCUGGAAAAGCAGAUAAUGCAAGAACUAAAGUUUCUCAUACCUCCCUUUUACUUAUCGUUGCUAUAAUAGAUAAGACAGCAGUGAUGUUUUCAACCCAUCUCUAUGCAUCCUUACAUCUCAGUAAAAGUCUCAGUGACUAACAGCCAAGACCCUAGCUUCCACUUUGACCGCCGACGAGUUGUUUUCAUUUUGUUUGUCAUUUUGAAGAAUUGCUUGAUGUUACAUGUAUCUUUGUUAGUGUUUUUAUCUCACCCGCAAGCCACUGUACAGUGGGCGCGUGACAAUCAUACAGUUAAUUAAUAUCUUUCACUAAGUUAAAAACAACGAAUAACAACGUACAUGUGCAAAAGGAAUGUUCGAUCAUGUGUCAAGGUGGGAAUGACUAUGUAAGACUCCAAUCCUAAAUGACUAAGGAAGAAUAUUAAUCAGGGCUUCUGCUAAGGCUAAAUUCUUUGGGGUCCCAGGGACCCCUUCUUCAGAUUUUUAAGGGGUCCCUGUUUUUCGCCCAAAUUUGAAGGGGACCCCAUUGACGAAAAUUGAAGGGGUCCUCUGAACUUUUAAUGCGUACUGUACGCAAUUUUUUGCGUAAGCAGAAGCCCUGAUAAUGUUCUAUAUUUUUAUCUUAGUAUUUUUUUUAGACAGAAACAUGCAAAUUAGUUUUCAAAUUAUAAGGAAUAAUCCAAAUUAAUACAAAUUUCAGUGUUUCUUUGGCAGUACUAAAAUGUUUUCACCAACUUAAUUAAAUUUAUAGAUUAAUAAUUAUUGUCCACCUCGCAGCGAAUAGGGUUAGUAAGAAUUUAGAGCAUAUCUACGUAGUAAACAUUUAAUUACUUAUUUACUUAUCUGUAUUUCUUUUCUGUGUAUUUGAUGCAUUGUUCUACAGAUAUUCUGUACAUUUCUUUAUUGUGUAAUACAUUAUUGUUUACAUACA